CAGAAGAGGAGGAGAAACUCAGAGAGAAUUCAUCUGAAACUCUCACGUCUGCUGCUAGUUAACAGUUAGUCAAACUUUACCAGCACACGCAACUGAUCGAGUCGUCUUCAUCAGAGGACACACACGAGAUGAGAAGUGAGGAGAUCUCGUCACACAUCAGAUCUGUUACAGUGAGGUUUUUUGCAGGUCAGAACACAACGGGUCCAUCUUCACUGCAGAUGCCAGCCGGGAUACAGCUGCUCAGAUCUGGACUUCAGGAAUGCCGCCGACAAGAGUCAAUAAAUUACCAAACACAUAAAAUAGUCUGGGUGAACAGUGAGGACGAAUCUGCUCCAGUUACUGGAUUCAAUUUUCCUUGGAAGGCAAUUUUUUACAUUUUUGUGGAAAUGAAGUGGUGGAAACUUUAAAAAAAAAGGCUGGCGGGGAAUGAGUUAAAGACUCGGAUCAAAGAACAAAAGUGUCAUUGACUGUACAGGUAACAUCAUACAGUAUUAAGAAUCAAAGGACUAUACACUAAACAUCUGUUAUGUAGUUUGUUCAUGAAGGUCCUAAAUAAAAACUUAAUGCAUUCUGUAUGAUCCCUUUUUUCUUAAAUACAAACAUUUUGCAGAUUGUGUGAGAGGACUGAAUUUUUUAAUUAAAAUAUCCACUAAUGACUCGCAAAGAUCAUUACAGACGGCAGAUGAGUGUUUUCAGACAGGUCUGUUUGUAUUUCCUUCCCAUCUGUGAAGCAGCUGGAAUAAAUCUGUGACUGACGUCAGCACAAGAGAUCACAUUCACACACAGCACUAGAUCUCACUUACAGCUCAAUGUUUAACACUGGUUUCCAGUACUUACACUACUGCUGUGUUUUGGGAAUUAACAAGGAAUGGUCUAUAAUGAACUUUAGUUGAAUCUCAAAUCCAACCCAGAUCUGACAAACAGACACACAAGCACAUCAAACUUAACAAAAAGAGACGUCAACUGAUCCCAAAACAGUGUGCAUGUCUGAUCCAUCAACUGCAACCUAUCUGAAGUCCUGAUACAGAAAUCAUCAAGGGGUAAAACGAUAAAUAGGGGAUUUACUCUAAAGCCUGAAAUGCUUGGCAACACACUCGCGACCGGCUGUUGAUCGAAGGGUCAAAGAACUUAAACACAUCCAGAUCUUCAUCUCCUCCUCUCAUUCCAGCUGUUAAUAUCCAGAUGCAGCGUCUGGGAAAAACUAUCUGCCUUCUGGCCUCUCUCUGUUUUUUCAACUUCACCUCAGAGUUCUGUGAACGCGAAUGUGCCAAAGGUCUCGGAUCAUAAUUGUCUUCAAUCAAUCAUUAUUUCAGUCAAUUAUUAUAAUGUUUCAAAAGAGUCAAAGAAAGUCAACACAACAGCUUUGACGGUGUCGAAAGGUGAAAGUUAAAGAGGCAGAAAAGAGGGCAAAAGUCAGUCAAUGUACAAAAUGAAGCGGGGUUGAACAAACGGCCUACGGGAGAUGAUAGACCUGUUUAUUUUAUAAUCCGAAUUCAGCGGAGUUACAGGUCUGAAUUUUACUUAACAACACGGUGGGGACGAAUAAUUUGCAAGAAGGUAAGACUUUCACUGGAAAUCAAUUUAUAAGUAUACAUCAUUAAAGUUUCUUUGGCUCCAGCAUCUAUCAGAGUGUUUCUAAAUAUGUACUCUUCAAAAUAAAAGUGCUUCAUGAUGUCAUAGAAGAACAAUUUCUGGAUUUAUGGCUCCAUAAAUAACCUUAAACAUCUGAACAACCUUUCUGAUUCACAAAAAGUUCUUAAGAUUAUGAAAAGCUUUAACUGAAUGAUUCUUUCCAGAACCAAAAAAAUCGUUUUUCUAUGGCAUCGCUGUGAACAAACUUUAAAGCACCAUUAUUAUUAAAAGUGUGCAUUAAAAUAAAUAUUGAUGGCUCUUACACAUCUGUUAUUUAUUUUCAUGCUGUUUUGAUUAAAACUUCUGAUAUUUGAUGAGAAACAGGAAGCAAAAGUGAAAUGAUGUCAGCAGUCAUGUGACCUUGCGGUCGAGCGUUUGGGGAAUGUGACCUCUCAAAGUCACCAGAUGGAUUUUAUUAUAAUGAUUUAAUUCUGUAUAAAGCACUCAGUUAUGUUAUAAUUACUUGUACACCAUUAAAAUCAACAUAAAGUAGUCAGAUUCAUUCUGAUAUAAUCACAGCAUGAGAUUUAUUUGUUUUAUUUAAUGUUAAAAAAUACGUACAUCAAUGAUGGAACGUCUUCAAGAUCACAACAAAAGGCCUGAUGUGUUUUCUGGUAAGUCUUUGUUAUU